AGCCCGUUAAUGGGUGAUGGCGUGCCUUUUGUAGAAUGAACCGGCGAGUUACGAUUUGAUGCAAGGUUAAGCAGUAAAUGUGGAGCCGUAGCGAAAGCGAGUCUGAAUAGGGCGUUUAGUAUUUGGUCGUAGACCCGAAACCAGGUGAUCUACCCUUGGUCAGGUUGAAGUUCAGGUAACACUGAAUGGAGGACCGAACCGACUUACGUUGAAAAGUGAGCGGAUGAACUGAGGGUAGCGGAGAAAUUCCAAUCGAACCUGGAGAUAGCUGGUUCUCUCCGAAAUAGCUUUAGGGCUAGCCUCAAGUGAUGAUUAUUGGAGGUAGAGCACUGUUUGGACGAGGGGCCCCUCUCGGGUUACCGAAUUCAGACAAACUCCGAAUGCCAAUUAAUUUAACUUGGGAGUCAGAACAUGGGUGAUAAGGUCCGUGUUCGAAAGGGAAACAGCCCAGACCACCAGCUAAGGUCCCAAAAUAUAUGUUAAGUGGAAAAGGAUGUGGCGUUGCCCAGACAACUAGGAUGUUGGCUUAGAAGCAGCCAUCAUUUAAAGAGUGCGUAAUAGCUCACUAGUCGAGUGACACUGCGCCGAAAAUGUACCGGGGCUAAACAUAUUACCGAAGCUGUGGAUUGUCCUUUGGACAAUGGUAGGAGAGCGUUCUAAGGGCGUUGAAGCAUGAUCGUAAGGACAUGUGGAGCGCUUAGAAGUGAGAAUGCCGGUGUGAGUAGCGAAAGACGGGUGAGAAUCCCGUCCACCGAUUGACUAAGGUUUCCAGAGGAAGGCUCGUCCGCUCUGGGUUAGUCGGGUCCUAAGCUGAGGCCGACAGGCGUAGGCGAUGGAUAACAGGUUGAUAUUCCUGUACCACCUAUAAUCGUUUUAAUCGAUGGGGGGACGCAGUAGGAUAGGCGAAGCGUGCGAUUGGAUUGCACGUCUAAGCAGUAAGGCUGAGUAUUAGGCAAAUCCGGUACUCGUUAAGGCUGAGCUGUGAUGGGGAGAAGACAUUGUGUCUUCGAGUCGUUGAUUUCACACUGCCGAGAAAAGCCUCUAGAUAGAAAAUAGGUGCCCGUACCGCAAACCGACACAGGUAGUCAAGAUGAGAAUUCUAAGGUGAGCGAGCGAACUCUCGUUAAGGAACUCGGCAAAAUGACCCCGUAACUUCGGGAGAAGGGGUGCUCUUUAGGGUUAACGCCCAGAAGAGCCGCAGUGAAUAGGCCCAAGCGACUGUUUAUCAAAAACACAGGUCUCUGCUAAACCGUAAGGUGAUGUAUAGGGGCUGACGCCUGCCCGGUGCUGGAAGGUUAAGAGGAGUGGUUAGCUUCUGCGAAGCUACGAAUCGAAGCCCCAGUAAACGGCGGCCGUAACUAUAACGGUCCUAAGGUAGCGAAAUUCCUUGUCGGGUAAGUUCCGACCCGCACGAAAGGCGUAACGAUUUGGGCACUGUCUCAACGAGAGACUCGGUGAAAUCAUAGUACCUGUGAAGAUGCAGGUUACCCGCGACAGGACGGAAAGACCCCGUGGAGCUUUACUGUAGCCUGAUAUUGAAAUUCGGCACAGCUUGUACAGGAUAGGUAGGAGCCUUUGAAACGUGAGCGCUAGCUUACGUGGAGGCGCUGGUGGGAUACUACCCUAGCUGUGUUGGCUUUCUAACCCGCACCACUUAUCGUGGUGGGAGACAGUGUCA
rnacentral:rRNA from 1 species